GAUGAACGCUGGCGGCGUGCCUAAUACAUGCAAGUCGAGCGAACGGACGAGAAGCUUGCUUCUCUGAUGUUAGCGGCGGACGGGUGAGUAACACGUGGAUAACCUACCUAUAAGACUGGGAUAACUUCGGGAAACCGGAGCUAAUACCGGAUAAUAUUUUGAACCGCAUGGUUCAAAAGUGAAAGACGGUCUUGCUGUCACUUAUAGAUGGAUCCGCGCUGCAUUAGCUAGUUGGUAAGGUAACGGCUUACCAAGGCAACGAUGCAUAGCCGACCUGAGAGGGUGAUCGGCCACACUGGAACUGAGACACGGUCCAGACUCCUACGGGAGGCAGCAGUAGGGAAUCUUCCGCAAUGGGCGAAAGCCUGACGGAGCAACGCCGCGUGAGUGAUGAAGGUCUUCGGAUCGUAAAACUCUGUUAUUAGGGAAGAACAUAUGUGUAAGUAACUGUGCACAUCUUGACGGUACCUAAUCAGAAAGCCACGGCUAACUACGUGCCAGCAGCCGCGGUAAUACGUAGGUGGCAAGCGUUAUCCGGAAUUAUUGGGCGUAAAGCGCGCGUAGGCGGUUUUUUAAGUCUGAUGUGAAAGCCCACGGCUCAACCGUGGAGGGUCAUUGGAAACUGGAAAACUUGAGUGCAGAAGAGGAAAGUGGAAUUCCAUGUGUAGCGGUGAAAUGCGCAGAGAUAUGGAGGAACACCAGUGGCGAAGGCGACUUCCUGGUCUGUAACUGACGCUGAUGUGCGAAAGCGUGGGGAUCAAACAGGAUUAGAUACCCUGGUAGUCCACGCCGUAAACGAUGAGUGCUAAGUGUUAGGGGGGUUCCGCCCCUUAGUGCUGCAGCUAACGCAUUAAGCACUCCGCCUGGGGAGUACGACCGCAAGGUUGAAACUCAAAGGAAUUGACGGGGACCCGCACAAGCGGUGGAGCAUGUGGUUUAAUUCGAAGCAACGCGAAGAACCUUACCAAAUCUUGACAUCCUUUGACAACUCUAGAGAUAGAGCUUUCCCCUUCGGGGGACAAAGUGACAGGUGGUGCAUGGUUGUCGUCAGCUCGUGUCGUGAGAUGUUGGGUUAAGUCCCGCAACGAGCGCAACCCUUAAGCUUAGUUGCCAUCAUUAAGUUGGGCACUCUAAGUUGACUGCCGGUGACAAACCGGAGGAAGGUGGGGAUGACGUCAAAUCAUCAUGCCCCUUAUGAUUUGGGCUACACACGUGCUACAAUGGACAAUACAAAGGGCAGCGAAACCGUGAGGUCAAGCAAAUCCCAUAAAGUUGUUCUCAGUUCGGAUUGUAGUCUGCAACUCGACUACAUGAAGCUGGAAUCGCUAGUAAUCGUAGAUCAGCAUGCUACGGUGAAUACGUUCCCGGGUCU
rnacentral:rRNA from 1 species